UCCCCUCUCAUUUUAGUUCUCCCUCAUUCGAUUUCUUCAUUUUAGGUCUGGUGAUUUAUUGCAGCACUGCUGCGUUUCUUCCUCCAUUUGUGUCCGUCGACUUCUCGCUCGCUCCCUCCGCGACCAUUUACCAGGUACCAAACCCUAGACAAUGCUGUGAUACAAAGCUGUGGAUUAUGCAUAAUUUGAUUCAUUUAUUACCAAACUUAAGGCCUAUUAUCUAUACAAAGCUGUGGAUUAAUUGACAGGAAAUGUUUUUAUCCCUAAUCAGAG
rnacentral:lncRNA from 1 species